AUUCAAGAAAGGGCUUAACCGCCGAUUCCCAUUCGAGAAGGAGAAGCAGAAGAGGAGGCCCAAUGGUUCGCUCCCCUCGGUUUGUUCGCCGCUAGACCUUCUUGAUCUGAACCAAUCUUCGUACGGUGCUACUGUAGGGUUUCGAUCUCUCUGUUUCCAAGGCGCGAGAACGCGGGAGAUGGAUCUUGGGUCGAAGAAGAGGAUUUUAGAAGAGGGAGAGCAGACGGUACAGUGGAAGGGGAAAGAAGCUUCAACCCAAGAGCAUGCAGCUCCGCACUUUGCACUUGCCGUCAUGCUCGGCAGUCGCUGGGGCAUCGACCACGUCGUCAAAAUAGCUGAUGAAAUGACAGCAAGAAAAGGUCAGGAGUUAAACCUGCUUUAGUCUACCUU